rnacentral:snRNA from 1 species
GUGCUUGCUUCUGCAGCACAUAUACUAAAAUCGGAAUGAUACAGAGAAGAUUAGCAUCGCCCCUGUGCAAGGAUGACACACAAAUUCGUGAAGCAUUCCAUAUUUUU